UUGUUUCAAGUGGAGGGGUAAAUCCAGUCCCUGUGACUCCAGCUUGUCCAGAAGUGAAAGUCCCAUUGGUCCAUGUAUCACAGCAGAAGGGAUACACAGGUGUUCAAUCCGAAGAGCCUUUUUGGUGAACUGUCCAGGUGACAGGAUCUAGAAGGAAGAAUAGAACGCUGGGCAGGAUUGUUGAGAGAAUUUGCAAUAACAUACGCAAAGCACCUGUUACAUGACUUGGAAUCAAACAUUCCAGAGUGAAAUCUAGUCUCCACCACUUAUUAGCUGAGUGAAUUGAUAGAAGCGACAAAACUAUCUCUGAGCCUCCAUUUGUUUAGCUGCAAAUUGAGGAUAAUUCAUCUUAUCUCACGAGUGGUCAUUAGAAUUAAAUAAAUACCAAUUGAACGAGAAUGGAAAAGGCCCUAUUGAGCUUACAUCCAUCCACAUGUUUCUUUUUUAUGUUUUUCCUGAGGAAGAGUCGCCCUGAACUAACAUUCACACCAAUCCUCCUUUAUUCUUUUGUUUGUAUGUGGGAUGCCUCCACAGUGUGGUGUCCCACCACCAGAGUGGAGUGGGUCCGUGCCCAGGAUCCAAACCCGUGAACCUAGGCCGCCAAAGUGGAGCAUGCAGAACUUUUGCCACUUGGCCACAAGCCAGUCCCUUUUUCUUUCUUUUAAUAAACAGUUUAAAGAUAUUUAUUUAUAACCUUAAAAAUACAUUGCUUAGCUCUGCAUUUUUUAAUGUUAAACAAAUUGAAUAUAGGAGGUGUACUUUAGUCAUUCUAUUUUUUGCUCAACAGCAUGUUCUUAAGCUUCACCCAUAAGGUAAUUAUUUUUUUAUUAUUUAUUUAUUUAUUUUUUUUGGUGAGGAAGACUGGCCCUGAGUUAACAUCUGUUGCCAAUCUUCCUGCUUUUGCUUGAGGAAGAUUGUCCCUGAGCUAACAUCUGUGUCAGUCUUCCUUUAUUGUGUAUGUUGGAUGCCACCACAGCAAGGCUUGAUGAGUGGUAUGUAAGUCUGCACCUGGGAUCUGAACCAGUGAACCCUGGGCUGCAGAAGCGGAGUGUAAGAACGUAACCACUAUGCUGCUGGACCAGACCCAGAUGAAUAGAACGGAUCAUAGCAAGCAAUCUUCCUGGUCUCCAAACAAAACUGUCAAGCUUUCACCAUUCAGGAUGAGGUUUACUGAAGAUUAGCCCUGAGCUAACAUCUGCCGCCAAUCCUCCUCUUUCUGCUGAGGAAGACUGGCCCUGAGCUAACAUCCGUGCCCGUCUUCCUCUACUUUAUAUAUGGGAUGCCUACCACAGCAUGGCUUGCCAAACAGUGCCAUGUCCACAUGUGGGAUCCAAACCAGCGAACCCCCAGCCGCCGAAGCGGAACAUGUGAACUUAACUGCUGCACCACCGGGCUGGCCCCUGCCCCACCCAAUAUCUUGUGUUGGUUGCUCAGGUCAUUCAUUAUGAGGCUUUCUUUUUUUCUAGUAUAAGUAUUUAAAUGA
rnacentral:lncRNA from 1 species